rnacentral:rRNA from 1 species
GCAGCCGCGGUAAUACGGAAGGUCCAGGCGUUAUCCGGAUUUAUUGGGUUUAAAGGGAGCGCAGGCGGCGGCGUAAGUCAGUUGUGAAAUCGUGCGGCUUAACCGUGCAAUUGCAGUUGAUACUGCGUCGCUUGAGUGCACACAGGGAUGUUGGAAUUCAUGGUGUAGCGGUGAAAUGCUUAGAUAUCAUGAAGAACUCCGAUCGCGAAGGCAUAUGUCCGGAGUGCAACUGACGCUGAGGCUCGAAAGUGUGGGUAUCAAACAGGAUUAGAUACCCC